UCGAAGACGAUCAGAUACCGUCGUAGUCCUAACUAUAAACGAUGUCAACCAAGGAUUGGAUGAAAUUCAGAUGUACAAAGAUGAAGAAACAUUGUUUCUAAAUCCAAGUAUAUCAAUACUACCUUGUUCAGAACUUAAAGAGAAAUCUUGAGUUUAUGGACUUCAGGGGGAGUAUGGUCACAAGGCUGAAACUUAAAGGAAUUGACGGAAGGGCACACCAGGAGUGGAGCCUGCGGCUUAAUUUGACUCAACACGGGAAAACUUACCAAGACCGAACAGUAGAAGGAAUGACAGAUUAAGAGUUCUUUCAUGAUUUAUUGGGUAGUGGUGCAUGGCCGUUCUUAGUUGGUGGA
rnacentral:rRNA from 1 species